GCCCGCUUGGUGGAAUGGUAGACACAACAGACUUAAAAUCUGUCGAUCUUACGGUCAUGCCAGUUCGAGUCUGGCAGCGGGCACCA
rnacentral:tRNA from 2 species